GACGAACGCUGGCGGUAUGCUUAACACAUGCAAGUCGAACGAGACGGGAUGGAAGGAGCCUUCGGGUGACGGAAAUCCUAGAAAGUGGCGAACGGGUGAGUAACGCGUGGGUAACCUGCCCUGUGGAAAGGAAUAGCCUCGGGAAACUGGGAGUAAUGCCUUAUAAUAUAUCGAAGUCGCAUGGCUUUGAUAUUAAACGCUCCGGUGCCAUAGGAUGGACCCGCGUCCCAUUAGCUAGUUGGUGAGAUAACAGCCCACCAAGGCGACGAUGGGUAACCGGUCUGAGAGGGCGAACGGUCACACUGGAACUGAGACACGGUCCAGACUCCUACGGGAGGCAGCAGUGGGGAAUAUUGCGCAAUGGGGGCAACCCUGACGCAGCAAUACCGCGUGAGUGAAGAAGGUUUUCGGAUCGUAAAGCUCUGUUAUUGGGGAAGAAAAAAGACGGUACCCAAGAAGAAAGUCCCGGCUAACUACGUGCCAGCCGCCGCCGUAA
rnacentral:rRNA from 1 species